GAUGAACGCCGGCGGCGUGCCUAAUACAUGCAAGUCGAGCGAACGGACGAGAAGCUUGCUUCUCUGAUGUUAGCGGCGGACGGGUGAGUAACACGUGGAUAACCUACCUAUAAGACUGGGAUAACUUCGGGAAACCGUAGCUAAUACCGGAUAAUAUUUUGAACCGCAUGGUUCAAAAGUGAAAGACGGUCUUGCUGUCACUUAUAGAUGGAUCCGCGCUGCAUUAGCUAGUUGGUAAGGUAACGGCUUACCAAGGCAACGAUGCAUAGCCGACCUGAGAGGGUGAUCGGCCACACUGGAACUGAGACACGGUCCAGACUCCUACGGGAGGCAGCAGUAGGGAAUCUUCCGCAAUGGGCGAAAGCCUGACGGGGCAACGCCGCGUGAGUGAUGAAGGUCUUCGGAUCGUAAAACUCUGUUAUUAGGGAAGAACAUAUGUGUAAGUAACUGUGCACAUCUUGACGGUACCUAAUCAGAAAGCCACGGCUAACUACGUG
rnacentral:rRNA from 1 species